rnacentral:rRNA from 1 species
UACGGGGGGAGCAAGCGUUGUUCGGAUUUACUGGGCGUAAAGAGCGCGCAGGCGGUCGUUUAAGUCGAAUGUGAAAGCCCCCGGCUCAACUGGGGAGGGUCAUUCGAUACUGAUCGACUUGAAGGCAGGAGAGGGAAGUGGAAUUCCGGGUGUAGUGGUGAAAUGCGUAGAUAUCCGGAGGAACACCAGUGGCGAAGGCGACUUCCUGGCCUGUUCUUGACGCUGAGGCGCGAAAGCUAGGGGAGCAAACGGG